GCCUUUGUGAUGUAGUGGUCAGCACGCUUGACGUGUAUUCGAGAGGUUCAUGGUUCGAGUCCCAACAAAGGCG
rfam:Stegodyphus mimosarum contig17983, whole genome shotgun sequence.